rfam:Mus musculus chromosome 2, GRC primary reference assembly.
GUGCUCCCUUAGGCAACGUAGAUACUAAAAUUUGAAUGAUACAGAGAAACUUAGUCUGGCCCCUGUGCAAGGGUGGCAUGCAGAUUAAUAAGCAUCCCAUGUUUCC